UACGAAGGUGGCAAGCGUUACUCGGAAUUACUAGGCGUAAAGCGCAGGUAGGCGGUUUGAUAAGUCUUUUGUGAAAGCUCCCGGCUUAACUGGGAGAGGUCAAAGGAAACUGUCAGGCUAGAGUGUGGUAGAGGAUGCUGGAAUUCCCGGUGUAGCGGUGAAAUGCGUAGAUAUCUGGAGGAACACCGGUGGCGAAGGCGGCAUCCUGGACCGGCAUUGACGCUGAGGUGCGAAAGCGUGGGGAGCAAACAGG
rnacentral:rRNA from 1 species